AGCGAACGCUGGCGGCAGGCUUAACACAUGCAAGUCGAGCGCCCCGCAAGGGGAGCGGCCGACGGGAGAGUAACACGUGGGAACAUACCUUUUGGUUCGGAACAACUGAGGGAAACUUCAGCUAAUACCGGAUAAGCCCUUACGGGGAAAGAUUUAUCGCCGAAAGAUUGGCCCGCGUCUGAUUAGCUAGUUGGUGAGGUAACGGCUCACCAAGGCGACGAUCAGUAGCUGGUCUGAGAGGAUGAUCAGCCUCACUGGGACUGAGACACGGCCCAGAAUCCUACGGGAGGCAGCAGUGGGGAAUAUUGGACAAUGGGGGCAACCAUGAUCCAGCCAUGCCGCGUGAGUGAUGAAGGCCUUAGGGUUGUAAAGCUCUUUUGCCCGGGAAGAUAAUGACGGUACCGAGAGAAUAAGCCCCGGCUAACUUCGUG
rnacentral:rRNA from 1 species